UCCAGACUCCUACGGGAGGCAGCAGUGAGGAAUAUUGGUCAAUGGGCGGAAGCCUGAACCAGCCAAGUCGCGUGAGGGAAGAAGGCCCUGCGGGUCGCAGACCUCUUUGGACGGGGAGCAAGGCCGCCGACGUGUCGGCGGAAGGAGAGUACCCGUAGAACAAGCAUCGGCUAACUCCGUGCCAGCAGCCGCGGUAAUACGGAGGGUGCAAGCGUUGUCCGGAAUCAUUGGGCGUAAAGAGUUCGUAGGCGGCAUGUAAAGUCAGGUGUUAAAGGCGCAGGCUCAACCUGUGUAUGGCACUUGAUACUUGCAAGCUGGAAUGCGGUAGAGGUAAAGGGAAUUCCUGGUGUAGCGGUGAAAUGCUUAGAUAUCAGGAGGAACAUCGGUGGCGUAAGCGCUUUACUGGGCCGUAAUUGACGCUGAGGAACGAAAGCCAGGGUAGCAAAUGGGAUUAGAUCCCCCCGUA
rnacentral:rRNA from 1 species